AAAAGCCUCACCUUUCCAAUGGCUAUCCCAAAAGCUUCUUUUUUUUUUCACUUCAAAUAUUGUCACGACCGCACUUCCUAAGGAUAGAAAGUACGAGUUAAUUGAGGAAGAUGGAAGGGGAAGAGAGUUGGAGGUGGAGAGUCUCCAUGGAAGCAUUCGGCCGAGAGAGGGAAAGAAAGAAGGAAGAAGAAAAGAAUUCUUGGGCUUGCUCCCAUUUGUUUGGAAAAGAAUUGGGCUCCCACACUUUAUUUAUUUGUUGAAAUUUAUAUGCCCAAAAUGAUUUAUUUUGUUGUAAAUAAAUCAAGCCCAAACUUUACUUAUUUACCA